rnacentral:piRNA from 1 species
UCUACCUGGAUGGAUGGUCUUUGGGC